AANCACNGGCGAANAUUANAUAAUNUCGUAUUNUGAUAGUACCUUACUACGGAUAACCGNGGUAAUUCUAGAGCUAAUACAUNGCUGAAAAUCCCGACUUCNGAAGGGGUAUUUAUUAGAUUCAAAACCAAUGCCCUUCGGGGCUCCUGGUGAUUCAUGAUACCUUCUCAAAUCGCACGGCCCCGCGCCGGCAAUGGUUCAUUCAAAUUUCUUCCCUAUCAACUUUCAAUGCUACGGUAGUGUCCUACCAUGGUUGCAACGGAANGGGGGAAAAAAUAGAUAUCGGGGUAANGGUUCCCUAUCGUAUUUACAACGGGUUACGGGAUUGNCNUUCCGNCGCACCCCACUCCUGCUCAUGUNUUUUCCAUAGCGACCUAAUCCCAGA
rnacentral:rRNA from 1 species